rnacentral:lncRNA from 1 species
CCAAGUUUGAGAAAGAAAAUAGAGCUUUCUGCUGCAUUCACGACGCUGGACCCAGGAGCCCCUUCCCCUCCUGCGAGGACAGAGCCCUGGGGCAGUUUUAGUGAGACGGGGCUCUUGGGGCUCCUGUGCCAGCCCCUGGGAAGGUGGGGGCGAUGCUUCGGGUACCUGUGCCAAUUAGAGCCUCGUCAGGAAAACAGAACCUGCUCCAGGGAGUUCCAUGGAGGGAAUUUAGUAUCGAGAACUAGUUACAAAGGUGUUGGAAGAGCUGGAACACCCUAGAGGGGACGUGGAAGCAACCCAGAGAUUGGCACCACAGGCAGCAGCCACAGCCUCGGCUGCUGGAGGGAUAAAGGGCAGAGGGGGCAUUGCCAGAGGGAACCAGGGCCAUCAGCAGGAGAAGGAACCAUGCGGGGCUGCCCAGCCCCUCCCAGGGCCGCCCCCCACCUGCCCCAAGCAGAGAGGAAGGAGGGGGAAUCUCCCUUCCUUCAGCUCCCAGAUGUCCCACGGCGCUGAGUCUAAUCAUGCUCCAGCUGGCAGAGGGGCCUGGGGCAUGGAGUCGCAGGGACUAACCCCUUGAAUAUAGAGAACAGCAGGAAAAAAGAGAGGCACAGAUUUGAGAGCAAAGCGGCAAAUGCCCUCAUAGAGAAGCAGGAGCUGAAGGAGAAAGAAGGGAAAAGAAUGGGAGGUGCAGGACCACGACAUAAACACAGCUGCCGCCAUCUUGUCUCUGGAGCUUCAGCAUCUCCCUAAUCCAAUGGAGAUGGAAUCCUGAUGCUUUCCUACUCUAGCCGGAAUGGCCUCUUCCAUUGGCUUCAGCGGGGGUGGCACGUUACUGCCAACUUAUUGAGGCACCGCCAAGGAGAUGAUGCCCAAGCCCCCAUGACAUCAGUGAACACGUCCAGGAGCUCACAGGCUGGCAGGAGAGACACAUCACUGUGAUGCUCGGAUAAAGUGUGCCCAACGUACUCCGAAAGGGACUCCCCUGUUAUUCUGGGGCACCCAGAUCCCAUGGAUCAACUUUAUACACGUCUCUAUUCUCAACUGUGGAGAAACC